rnacentral:rRNA from 1 species
CAAGUCGCACGAGAAAGGGGAGCAAUCCCUGAGUACAGUGGCGCACGGGUGAGUAACACGUGGGUAAUCCACCCUUUAGUGGGGAAUAACCCUGGGAAACCGGGGCUAAUACCGCAUAAGCCUGAGAAGGGAAAGCAGCAAUGCGCUGAAGGAGGAGCUCGCGGCCGAUUAGCUAGUUGGUGGGGUAACGGCUCACCAAGGCGACGAUCGGUAGCCGGCCUGAGAGGGCACACGGCCACACUGGCACUGAAACACGGGCCAGACUCCUACGGGAGGCAGCAGUGGGGAAUCUUGCACAAUGGGGGAAACCCUGAUGCAGCGACGCCGCGUGAGCGAUGAAGCCCUUCGGGGUGUAAAGCUCUUUCGACGGGAACGAUAAUGACGGUACCCGGAGAAGAAGCUGCGGCUAACUACGUGCCAGCAGCCGCGGUAAUACGUAGGCAGCAAGCGUUGUUCGGAAUUACUGGGCGUAAAGAGUGUGUAGGCGGUGCUCUAAGUUCGGUGUGAAAUCUCCCGGCUCAACUGGGAGGGUGCGCCGGAAACUGGAGUGCUGGAGCGCGGGAGAGGAAAGCGGAAUUCCUGGUGUAGCGGUGAAAUGCGUAGAUAUCAGGAGGAACACCGGCGGUGUAGACGGCUUUCUGGACCGUAGCUGACGCUGAGACACGAAAGCGUGGGUAGCAAACAGGAUUAGAUACCCUGGUAGUCCACGCCCUAAACGAUGCAUACUUGGUGUCGGCCAUUCAGUUGGUCGGUGCCGGAGCUAACGCGUUAAGUAUGCCGCCUGGGGAGUACGGUCGCAAGGCUGAAACUCAAAG